rnacentral:lncRNA from 1 species
CUGACGAGAUUAUCCGUCUUCUUGAGCAUGAAAAGAAGAUCAUUCAGCCGCAUCUUGAGAACCUGAAAAUAGUCAAAUUGGGGUUUUACAGAUGUAAUAUCAAAAAGGGGUGAAAAAUAAAAUCAAAAUAAAAAAAAAAUAAAAAAAAAUGGCGCCCUCAGACCCCAAGUUGACUAAUGCUGAAUGGGUUCAGAGUCGUUACGAC